GCGUGCUUAACACAUGCAAGUCGAACGGAAAGGCCCUUCGGGGUACUCGAGCGGCGAACGGGUGAGUAACACGUGGGUGAUCUGCCCUGCACUUUGGGAUAAGCCUGGGAAACUGGGUCUAAUACCGAAUAGGACCACGGCCUUCAUGGGUUGUGGUGGAAAGCUUUUGCGGUGUGGGAUGGGCCCGCGGCCUAUCAGCUUGUUGGUGGGGUAAUGGCCUACCAAGGCGACGACGGGUAGCCGGCCUGAGAGGGUGACCGGCCACACUGGGACUGAGAUACGGCCCAGACUCCUACGGGAGGCAGCAGUGGGGAAUAUUGCACAAUGGGCGCAAGCCUGAUGCAGCGACGCCGCGUGAGGGAUGACGGCCUUCGGGUUGUAAACCUCUUUCAAUAGGGACGAAGCGCAAGUGACGGUACCUAUAGAAGAAGCACCGGCCAACUACGUGCCAGCAGCCGCGGUAAUACGUAGGGUGCGAGCGUUGUCCGGAAUUACUGGGCGUAAAGAGCUCGUAGGUGGUUUGUCGCGUUGUCCGUGAAACCUCACAGCUUAACUGUGGGCGUGCGGGCGAUACGGGCAGACUAGAGUACUGCAGGGGAGACUGGAAUUCCUGGUGUAGCGGUGGAAUGCGCAAAUAUCAGGAGGAACCCCGGUGGCGAAGGCGGGUCUCUGGGCAGUAACUGACGCUGAAGAACGAAAGCGUGGGGGACCGACAGGAUUAGAUACCCUGGUAGUCCACGCCGUAAACGGUGGGUACUAGG
rnacentral:rRNA from 1 species